rnacentral:tRNA from 1 species
GGGGGCUUAGCUCAGUUGGUAGAGCGCCUGCUUUGCAAGCAGGAUGUCAGGAGUUCGAAUCUCCUAGUCUCCA